rnacentral:lncRNA from 1 species
AAAACUUAGUAUAUAAAAGUAAAUUGAACAUAUUUUGUUCAAUUAGCACAUUCGAAGAUCAAAUCCAAAUAAAGCAAAGUGCAAAGAUAAAGAUUAAUUAAUAAAAAGAAGAUGGCCUAAGAAAAAUAAAAUUUCUUUGAUUGUGUAAGUUUAAAUGUCGAUGUGUACAUAUUUCUUUGAACUAAUUUUGUUUGUCAAGAUGAAUAAGAGAGAUGUUAGUAAUGCGUCCCCUUUAGUAACCAGGGAAAAUUGGUGGUGGUGGUGAUGCGUAAAUUGAUCCCAAGUUUGGAGGAAGGAUAACAUCCUCGAAAACAGGUGGAGGGGGAGAUGCCAAUGGAGCAGGAGGUGGUGAUUGAACAGGUUUAGGCGGAGGCGGGGAGUGGACUGGUGGAGGAGGAGAAAAGACGGGAGGUGGUGGUGAGUGAACUGGUGGCGGUGGAGAAUGAACUGGAGGAGGUGGGGAGUGAACUGGUGGUGGUGGUGGAGAGUGAACUGGAGGAGGUGGUGAAUGAACUGGUGGUGGUGGGGAGUGAACUGGAGGUGGAGGUGAUGGUACUAGCGGUGGAGGAGAGUGGACUGGUGGUGAUGGGGAGUGAACUGGAGGAGGAGGUGAUGCCACUGGUGGUGGAGGAGAGUGGACUGGAGGCGGUUGUGGUUUUGGACUUGGCACUGGUGGUGGAGGAGAGUGGACCGGAGGCGCCUGUGGUUUUGGACUUGGCACUGGAGGUGGAAGUGAUGUCACUGGUGGUGGUGGAGAGUUGACCGGAUGUGGCUUUGGUUUUGGACUUGGCACUGGAGGUGGAGGUGAUGCCACUGGUGGUGGUGGAGAGUUGACUGGAGGUGGCUUUGGUUUUGGACUUGGCACCUCUGGAGGUGGAGGUGAUGUCACUGGUGGUGGUGGAGAGUUGACUGGAGGUGGCUUUGGUUUUGGACUUGGCACCUCUGGAGGUGGAGGUGAUGCCAUUGGUGGUGGUGGAGAGUUGACUGGAGGUGGCUUUAGUUUUGGACUUGGGACUGGUGGUGGAGGUGAUGCCACUGGUGGUGGUGGAGACUGAACCGUAGACGGCUGUGGUUUUGGACUUGGCGCUGGUGGUAGAGGUGAUGCCGCUGGUGGUGGUGGAGAGUGAACCGGAGGUGGCUUUGGUUUUGGACUUGGCACUGGAGGUGGAGAUGAUGCCACAGGUGGUGGUGGAGAGUGAACCGGAGGUGGAUUUGGUUUUGGACUUGGUACUGGUGGGGGCGGUGAUGCCACGGGUGGUGGUGGAGAGUGAACCGGUACUGGUGGGGGCGGUGAUGCCACGGGUGGUAGUGGAGAGUGAACCGGAGGUGGUUUUGGUUUUGGACUUGGCACUGGCGGAGGCGGUGAUGCCACGGGUGGUGGUAAAGGUGAAAUCUUGGGUGGAUUAGACUUAGGUGGUUUUGGGGUUGAAGGAGUUCUUUUGGGUGGCAUAGGGGGAUUUGGAUCCUUUGGUGCUGGUCCUUCUUUAUUAGCUCUACAUUUAUCUUUACUGCAAUCCACAGGUUUGCUCAAAACAGAUUGACAAUCUUUCUCUUUUC